CUUUUGAGUAUUAUUUUUUUCGAAUAAUUUAGCUAGAGUUAGGAGUAAACUUAUUAAUCUGUAAGAAGUGGCUAGAGUCUUUGGUUUAUUUGGUUUUGGUAUUGGUAUUACAGUUGACAAUUUCUUCUGUUUUUUUUUUCAGUUUUUUUACAUUUGAUGAGAAAAUCGAAAAAUGGCCUCCCCUAAAGUACCUCUCAAAAACGAUUUCCUCUUAAAAAAAGGCACUAC